UACGUAGGUGGCAAGCGUUGUCCGGAUUUACUGGGCGUAAAGAGCGCGCAGGCGGUCGGAUCAGUCGCAUGUGAAAGCCCCCGGCUCAACUGGGGAGGGUCAUUCGAUACUGUCCGACUCGAAGGCAGGAGAGGGAAGCGGAAUUCCCGGUGUAGUGGUGAAAUGCGUAGAUAUCGGGAGGAACGCCAGUGGCGAAGGCGGCUUUCUGGCGUGUUCUUGACGCUGAGGCGCGAAAGCUAGGGGAGCGAACGGG
rnacentral:rRNA from 1 species